rnacentral:lncRNA from 1 species
CUGAGCACUCCUAGGAGCACUGGUGGGACCUGCUAGUUGCUGUAGGCAGAAGAAAGGAAAACCAGUCAGUGGGGAAGGCAGUGGACUGAGGUAGUAGCGUGGGAAUGGUGAUUUAUCUCUGUCCCUCUGCAGCUAGCCGUGGCCCCUUUCACCCCGUGUGAAGCAGUGUGUGAGUGAGCGGGGAGACAGCACCCUGCCACGUUGGGGAGCUGACAGCCACUUGAAAAGCCAGUGAAGAGAAAGGGACCUGUGUGGGGUGCUCAGGAGCCUCAGGAAGUGGCUCUGACGAUGCAGUGACCGAGGCCCAGGAGAGGAGAAUGCACAGAACGGUCCCCGUGGAGUCAGCAGCAGGAUCUCAUCAGCGCUGCUCAAACGCAGCUGCCGGGAGAAUCCCUGAAUUCUCGUUCGAGUGUGGGUCUGGGUCCGGGCCUCGGGCAGGGCUGCGAUUCUGCCUUUCGCACAGUGCCUGGUAAAGCUGGAGCGAGUCCCGAGCGCUGGGUCUUCGGUGACACAGAGGCCAACGGCUCGCUUUUAGCCGAUGUGAUUAGAGGUAUUAGCACCAGAGGGAAGGAACUGUCGUUGGGAGAAGAGGAGAGGAUGCAAAGUGAGGCGUGGUGGUGCACAGCCGUCAUCCCAGCACUCGGGAGGCCGAGGCAGGAGGAUCGACUCAAAUUCAAGGCCAGCCUGGGGCACUGUCUCAAACAGACAGACAAAAACAGGUAGGGAACUUCUCUUGCUCUGGCGGCCAAGCUGGGAGAAGAGGGCGUGAUUCCAGAAGGGGCUUCCUGCCUGUGCAGCCAGAGACCUUGGUGGAUUCAGAUAGAGGUUCAUGUGGCCGACAGCCCGAGAACCGACACGACACCACAUCCCCGGGUUUGAUGCCCUGCAGAGUCCGAGGAGUCCGAAC